AUUGAACGCUGGCGGCAUGCCUUACACAUGCAAGUCGAACGGUAACGCGGGGCAACCUGGCGACGAGUGGCGAACGGGUGAGUAAUGCAUCGGAACGUGCCCAGUAGUGGGGGAUAGCCCGGCGAAAGCCGGAUUAAUACCGCAUACGACCUAUGGGUGAAAGCGGGGGAUCGCAAGACCUCGCGCUUUUGGAGCGGCCGAUGUCGGAUUAGCUAGUUGGUGAGGUGAAGGCUCACCAAGGCGACGAUCCGUAGCGGGUCUGAGAGGAUGAUCCGCCACACUGGGACUGAGACACGGCCCAGACUCCUACGGGAGGCAGCAGUGGGGAAUUUUGGACAAUGGGGGCAACCCUGAUCCAGCCAUGCCGCGUGAGUGAAGAAGGCCUUCGGGUUGUAAAGCUCUUUCGGCCGGGAAGAAAUCGCAUGGGUUAAUACCCUGUGCGGAUGACGGUACCGGCAUAAGAAGCACCGGCUAACUACGUGCCAGCAGCCGCUGUAAUAC
rnacentral:rRNA from 1 species